rnacentral:misc_RNA from 1 species
GUGAAUCAUCGAAUUUUUGAACGCAAAUUGCACUCUCCGCUGAGAGGAUGCCUAUUUGAGUUUCAGCCUAUAAAAAAUCAACAUCGGUGCUGUUGCUCGGUUUCGUGCUUCGGAAAUGGAUUCAUCUUGUAUCGUUUUGGGUUAAGCGACUUAAAAUUUUCUUUGGUUUUCAUGAACGGUUCUAAGAUCUAUUUCUGUACACUUUUAAUGUAUCGAUUUUUACUAGACGUGACUAUCAUAUCGGAUCUCGUC